rnacentral:lncRNA from 1 species
UUCUCUUAGCCUGUCUAUCAGCUUUUUAAAGGUGUAGUUCUUUCUCCACUCCUAAUAAAUAUUCUCCUCAGGAAUGUGACUGUAUUGUUUGCAGCUCUAUUUCUGGUCCAUCUCUCUUUCUGAGGCACAUGGGCACCUGUGAGCACUGCACAUCCAGGCCCAGACAUCUAUCAAAAUCUUUUCAGAGACUGUCACUGCCUCCAAGGUCUGUUCACUGUUCUGGGGAAUUAGCUUAUACUCACAGCUAGAACUAAUCCUGCCAAAUUCUUCAAGGAAUUCAGAGCUCCACAAGUUUAGCCCUCUAAUCUCUGCACACCAACAUGCUAUGUGCAACCAAAUUGUGUGCACAAUUUUACAGUAUAUUCCAUCUGAUUGCUUCUUCUUGAGUUGCUUUGCUGUCCUCCGCUUUUAUAAGGAUGCUUUGAUCUGUGGUUUUAGUUCAUGAAACCCUGUAUUAAUCUGCACACAUCUCAAAUUCUUCAUUAUGACCCUCAAAGAAAGAGCCUUCCUGAUGACAGACACAAAGUGGAGAAAAGUAUAGCCAAAAUAUGGAGAGACUCGUCUUUUUGAAGGCAUUGAUUGAGCUGCUAGAUCCAUCCACACUUGAAGGUAGAUGCAUCUCUGGACUUCCUUGACCUGUGACAUGAUUUGAAUAUGAUUUAUCUCUCAGCAGCUGAAAAAAGUAGUGGUGAGUAUUCCAUGUAAACAACUUAUUAUAAUAAUAGUGUACUUCCCCAUGACAUAUAUUUCUUUUCUAGAACUAUUAUUAUUCUUUAUGUU